rnacentral:rRNA from 1 species
UGUUGUACGCAGCCCCGGUAAUAACAUAGGGCCAAGACGUUAAUCCGGAAUUCCUGGCUUAAUGGCUGUGUGUAGGUAGUAUAGUAAAGUUGAAAUGUGCAAUCGCCUGCGCUCCAACUUGUGAAUCUUUAAUCUAUAACUGCCAGGCCAGAAAAAGGCAACAAGGGGAACAACUUAGAUUUUGAGCCGGGCACAGCAAGUCGUACCAAGGUACCCACUAGAGUUUUGAUCCUGGCUCAGAUUGAACGCUGGCGGCAGGCCUAACACAUGCAAGUCGAGCGGAUGAAGAGAGCUUGCUCUCUGAUUCAGCGGCGGACGGGUGAGUAAUGCCUAGGAAUCUGCCUGGUAGUGGGGGACAACGUCUCGAAAGGGACGCUAAUACCGCAUACGUCCUACGGGAGAAAGCAGGGGACCUUCGGGCCUUGCGCUAUCAGAUGAGCCUAGGUCGGAUUAGCUAGUUGGUGAGGUAAUGGCUCACCAAGGCGACGAUCCGUAACUGGUCUGAGAGGAUGAUCAGUCACACUGGAACUGAGACACGGUCCAGACUCCUACGGGAGGCAGCAGUGGGGAAUAUUGGACAAUGGGCGAAAGCCUGAUCCAGCCAUGCCGCGUGUGUGAAGAAGGUCUUCGGAUUGUAAAGCACUUUAAGUUGGGAGGAAGGGCAGUAAGCGAAUACCUUGCUGUUUUGACGUUACCGACAGAAUAAGCACCGGCUAACUCUGUGCCAGCAGCCGCGGUAAUACAGAGGGUGCAAGCGUUAAUCGGAAUUACUGGGCGUAAAGCGCGCGUAGGUGGUUUGUUAAGUUGAAUGUGAAAUCCCCGGGCUCAACCUGGGAACUGCAUCCAAAACUGGCAAGCUAGAGUAGGGCAGAGGGUGGUGGAAUUUCCUGUGUAGCGGUGAAAUGCGUAGAUAUAGGAAGGAACACCAGGGCGAAGGCGACCACCUGGGCUCAUACAGACACGAGGGUGGAAUGCUUGUACCAUCCG